rnacentral:lncRNA from 1 species
AAAAUUUAAUAAAAUAUAAUUCGAAUAAAAUUUAUAUAUUAACUUUUAAAUUUGUUAAAAAAUAUGAUUUAAAAAACGAAUUCGUCAAUUAUUCGGAUACGCAAUUUAUACAGAUAUUAUAUGUUCACCAAUUAAUAAUUCGGGAUAAAAAAUUUAGCUAUUAAACUAAGUCUCUUUCUUUAGAUUUAUGCUACUAGUAUAUAUAGUUAUAAAUUCUUAAAAAUAUAUAAAAAAAGAGCUACAGAAUAAAAUCGAUUAAGUAAAAAAAUAAUAGCAGAUUUUAUCGUCAUCUCCAUCUUCAUUUUUUUCAUGAUCUAUAUAUUUCGAAAGUUCAUAAAGUCUUUCACCUUUUUUUUAUAAAAAUUUUACUGAAAGUUUUAUACGAGCACAUAA